GAUGAAGAACGCAGUGAAAUGCGAUAAGUAGUGUGAAUUGCAGAAUUCAGUGAAUCAUCGAAUCUUUGAACGCACAUUGCGCCCGCCAGCAUUCUGGCGGGCAUGCCUGUUCGAGCGUCAUUUCAACCCUCGACAUCCCCUUGGGGAAGUCGGCGUUGGGGACCGGCAGCACACCGCCGGCCCCGAAAUUGAGUGGCGGCCCGUCCGCGGCGACCUCUGCGUAGUAAUCCAACCUCGCACCGGAACCCCGACGUGGCCACGCCGUAAAACACCCAACUUUCUGAACGUUGACCUCGGAUCAGGUAGGAAUACCCGCUGAACUUAAGCAUAUCAAUAAGCGGAGGA
rnacentral:misc_RNA from 1 species